rnacentral:lncRNA from 1 species
CUUGGGGACAAGUAUGAAACACUGGGCUGUUAAGCGUGUGCCACAAAAAAUAAACUGCGCCGCGUGAGAGCCGCGGGAGGAGCGCUCGCAGGGCUGGGCACGCGCCGGCACACCUCAGCUCCUCGUGGAUCCUCCCCACUGCUCCAGCAGCUCUAAUUAGUUGGGGUUAGAUAUUCCCAACUCAGGGAGAUGCUCUCCAUAAAUAAUUGUUUGCAUUUAAAAGCAGAUUUCUGCAAAGGUUCUGGUGCUGGCGGUUUCCCUCCAGGAGCACCGGCAAAACGGGGAUGCAAUGUCCAGAUGUGAACAAUGUGUGCGACUUAAUCAGCUAAAUUUUGGGUUAUUUCUGCAAGAACUCCAUAAUGAAGGAGGUUAUCAUCCAGGAGUUAUGCCCAGCUUGCUUUUAAACCUGCAAAGGGAAGAUAAUGUGAACAAAGCAGUGAUGGCUCUCAGGUUCCUCCCCAGGCAUCAGGAGAGGAGUGGGGCUGUUUUGGAUCACCUGAGCACAGUUUCCACAUGUCGCUCAGUCAGAUUUUCUGUUAGCAAGACUGAGAGACGAAUAACAUAUGUUACCCCACAACUGACCUUGAAGGGGAACUGAAGAAACCAUCUUCCCUAGGGCUGAGAUGUAAUUCAGACACGAGCUCACUCCGUAGAGGUCCUUUUCUGAAAAGACACUGCCAACUGUGUCCUAAGCCCUGGAAACGUUCCUGCCUGCAUCGAUAGCAGAGCGUGAA